AGUGGGGAAUCUUGCGCAAUGGGCGAAAGCCUGACGCAGCAACGCCGCGUGGGGGAUGAAGGCUCUCGGGUUGUAAACCCCUUUCAGCAGGGACGAAUCAAGACGGUACCUGCAGAAGAAGCCCCGGCUAACUACGUGCCAGCAGCCGCGGUAACACGUAGGGGGCAAGCGUUGUCCGGAUUUAUUGGGCGUAAAGAGCUCGUAGGUGGCUGAGUAAGUCGGGUGUCAAAGCCCCAGGCUCAACCUGGGAUCCCACCCGAUACUGCUCUGGCUAGAGUCCGGUAGGGGAGCGUGGAAUUCCUGGUGUAGCGGUGAAAUGCGCAGAUAUCAGGAGGAACACCAGCGGCGAAGGCGGCGCUCUGGGCCGGUACUGACACUGAGGAGCGAAAGCGUGGGUAGCAAA
rnacentral:rRNA from 1 species